CACGUAGGGCGCAAGCGUUUUCCGGAAUUAUUGGGCGUAAAGAGCUCGUAGGCGGUCUGUUGCGUCUGCUGUGAAAACUCGGGGCUUAACCCCGAGCCUGCAGUGGAUACGGGCAGACUAGAGGUAGGUAGGGGAGACUGGAAUUCCUGGUGUAGCGGUGAAAUGCGCAGAUAUCAGGAGGAACACCGGUGGCGAAGGCGGGUCUCUGGGCCGUAACUGACGCUGAGGAGCGAAAGCGUGGGGAGCGAACAGG
rnacentral:rRNA from 1 species